rnacentral:tRNA from 1 species
GUAAAUAUAGUUUAAUACAAAACACUGACCUGUGAAGUCAAAAAUAGAUAUAAUUCUUAUUUACC